rnacentral:rRNA from 1 species
UACAGAGACUGCAAGCGUUAUUCGGAUUCACUGGGCGUAAAGGGUGCGCAGGCGGCCAAGUGUGUCAGGUGUGAAAUCCCGAGGCUUAACCUCGGAACUGCGCCUGAAACUACUUGGCUAGAGUACUGGAGAGGGUAGUGGAAUUCCCGGUGUAGAGGUGAAAUUCGUAGAUAUCGGGAGGAACACCGGUGGCGAAGGCGGCGACCUGGGUAGAUACUGACGCUGAGGUGCGAAAGCGUGGGGAGCAAACAGG